AUUGAACGCUGGCGGCAGGCUUUACACAUGCAAGUCGAGCGAGCGGCGGACGGGUGAGUAAUGUCUGGGAAACUGCCUGAUGGAGGGGGAUAACUACUGGAAACGGUAGCUAAUACCGCAUACCAUCAGAUGUGCCCAUAUGGGAUUAGCUAGUAGGUGGGGUAAUGGCUCACCUAGGCAACGAUCCCUAGCUGGUCUGAGAGGAUGACCAGCCACCCUGGAACUUCGAAACGGUCCAUACUCCUACGGGAGGCAGCAGUGGCGAAUAUUGCACCAUGGGCGCAAGCCUGAUGCAGCCAUGCCGCGUGUGUGAAGAAGGCCGUCGGGUUGUAAAGCACUUUCAGCGAGGAGGCGUUACUCGCAGAAGAAGCACCGGCUAACGCCGUGCCAGCAGCCGCGGUAAUUC
rnacentral:rRNA from 1 species